UGGGGAAUAUUGGACAAUGGGGGCAACCCUGAUCCAGCAAUGCCGCGUGUGUGAAGAAGGUCUUCGGAUUGUAAAGCACUUUCGACGGGGACGAUGAUGACGGUACCCGUAGAAGAAGCCCCGGCUAACUUCGUGCCAGCAGCCGCGGUAAUACGAAGGGGGCUAGCGUUGCUCGGAAUGACUGGGCGUAAAGGGCGUGUAGGCGGUUUACACAGUCAGAUGUGAAAUCCCCCGGGCUUAACCUGGG
rnacentral:rRNA from 1 species